rnacentral:rRNA from 1 species
AUGCAUAAUAUUGUACAUGCUGAGAUAGAAGAUAUUGAUGUCACAAUUAAACUUGCCAAUAGAGAUACUAUUUCACCAAUUGGAAUUGUUAGAGAUGUUGAAGUCUUGUGUGGGAAAACUAAAUACCCUGCUGAUUUUCUUGUUCUUGGUUCCUCACAAGAUAGCUUUUGUCCCAUUAUAUUUGGUAGACCCUUCUUGAACAUUGUUAAUGCUAAGAUAGAUUGCAAAAAGGAUGUUGUUACUAUUGGUUUAGGUGAUAUGUCUCAUGAAUUUAAUUUCUCUAAAUUUCAUAGACAACACCGUGAAGAGGAAUUGCCUAGUAAAGAUGAAAUUAUUGGUCUUGCUUCUAUUGUCGUACCUCCUAGUGAUCCUUUAGAACAAUAUUUGCUAGGCCAUGAAAAUGAUAUAUUUAUGAAUGAAAUAGGGGAAAUAGAUGAAGUAUUCUUUAAAUAG